rnacentral:tRNA from 1 species
GCCGCGAUAGCCAAGUUGGUCACGGCGCGUCUCUGAAAAAGAUGAGAUCUCGGUUCGAUUCCGAGUCGCGGCA